GAAAUGCGAUAAGUAAUGUGAAUUGCAGAAUUCAGUGAAUCAUCGAAUCUUUGAACGCACAUUGCGCCCGCCAGCCAUUCUGGCGGGCAUGCCUGUCCGAGCGUCAUUUCAACCAUCAAGCCCCGUGCUUGUGUUGGGGAGCUGCGGGCCCUCCGGGGCGCGCAGGUCCUGAAAUGCAGUGGCGGGCUCGCUGACACACCGAGCGUAGUAGCAUAAUUCUCGCUCUGGGCGUGCUGCGGGUACCGGCCGUGAAACGACCUCUCGAGAGAGAGGACACCCAAAGGUUGACCUCGGAUCAGGUAGGAAUACCCGCUGAACUUAAGC
rnacentral:misc_RNA from 1 species